AUACGUAGGGAGCGAGCGUUGUCCGGAUUUACUGGGUGUAAAGGGUGCGUAGGCGGCUCUGCAAGUCAGGUGUGAAAACCAACGGCUUAACUGAUGGACUGCAUUUGAAACUGUGGGGCUUGAGUGGAGUAGAGGCAGACGGAAUUCCCGGUGUAGCGGUGAAAUGCGUAGAGAUCGGGAAGAACACCAGUGGCGAAGGCGGUUUGCUGGGCUCUAACUGACGCUGAGGCACGAAAGCAUGGGUAGCAAACAGGAUUAGAUACCCUGGUAGUCCAUGCCGUAAACGAUGAUUACUAGGUGUGGGGAGUCUGACCCUCUCCGUGCCGGAGUUAACACAAUAAGUAAUCCACCUGGGAAGUACGACCGCAAGGUUGAA
rnacentral:rRNA from 1 species